rnacentral:rRNA from 1 species
CCUACGGGUGGCAGCAGUGGGGAAUAUUGCACAAUGGGGGAAACCCUGAUGCAGCGACGCCGCGUGAGUGAAGAAGUAUUUCGGUAUGUAAAGCCCUAUCAGCAGGGAAGAAAAUGACGGUACCUGAUUAAGAAGCCCCGGCUAACUACGUCCCAGCAGCCGCGGUCAUACGUAGGGGGCAAGCGUUAUCCGGAUUUACUGGGUGUAAAGGGAGCGUAGACGGCAGGACAAGUCUGGAGUGAAAUGCCGGGGCUUAACCCCGGAACUGCUUUGGAAACUGUGGAGCUAGAGUGCAGGAGAGGUAAGUGGAAUUCGUGGUGUAGCGGUGAAAUGCGUAGAUAUUAGGAAGAACUCCAGUGGCGAAGGCGGCUUACUGGACUGUAACUGACGUUGAGGCUCGAAAGCGUGGGGAGCGAACAGGAUUAGAUACCCCAGUAGUC